CUACGUAGGGUGCGAGCGUUGUCCGGAAUUACUGGGCGUAAAGAGCUCGUAGGUGGUUUGUCGCGUCGUCUGUGAAAUUCCGGGGCUUAACUCCGGGCGUGCAGGCGAUACGGGCAUAACUUGAGUACUGUAGGGGAGACUGGAAUUCCUGGUGUAGCGGUGAAAUGCGCAGAUAUCAGGAGGAACACCGGUGGCGAAGGGGGGUCUCUGGGCAGUAACUGACGCUGAGGAGCGAAGGCAUGGGUAGCGAACAGGAUUAGAUACCCUGGUAGUCCAUGCCGUAAACGGUGGGCGCUAGGUGUAGGGGUCUUCCACGACUUCUGUGCCGUAGCUAACGCAUUAAGCGCCCCGCCUGGGGAGUACGGCCGCAAGGCUAAAACUCAAAGGAAUUGACGGGGG
rnacentral:rRNA from 1 species